ensembl:lncRNA
GGAAGAGGCAAAGCGGGAGAUUUCACUCUCCCAAAAUUUAGCUAAAUCUGUUCAAAAUAAACGCAAAGCGUUUCAAUGGAUUUAUUUUGGACCUAAAUUUAUCGCCUGCCUUCCCGUCUUUGGGACGACUCCCAUUGUUAGUGCGGAGACAUGAGCAUCUCGUCAAUAUACAGAUAUCUGCCAAAACUUCUAAGUAAAAUCACAUGAUCUGUAUUUUGUCAUAUGACAUUGAUGAGCCCGACAAGCAACCAGAAACAAGCAACUCACGGUGGACUUCACUAAAAGAAAGACAACCGUCAGGGAUGAAAUUCUAUAAAACGUUUUUGUGACUUUGACGAUAAUAUCUGGAGUAUGGAAUGUUGGGGAGUUUUGACUGCGAUAGCUGCCGCUUGUCUGCUAGGUGUGGUGGUGAGCCAGACGACGGCUCCGAUGCUCGGUCUUUCUGUGAUGAACACCACAUUCAUUGAGAAUGUGACAGACACAACCACAUUCAGUGAGACCCCUACAGUCAGUGAGACCCCUACAGUCAGUGAGACCCCUACAUUCAAUGAGGAAGUGACAGCAUCCCCCCAUAUGAUCCUCAGCACCACGUCCCCAGGCUGCUCUGCCCUCUGUGAGGCCUGUGUCCCAGGGUCCUACUCCGACAAAGACACCCUCCUGUGUUCCUGCUGCCGUGAGCCAGGGUUGUGUCUGUUCACUGAGGCUUGCCUCCCAUGUUCCAGAGGGUUCUUUCAGAGUCUGGCUGGACAACAGCGAUGUCUGCCCUGCAGCCAGGGUUUUUACACCAAUUUCACCGGCAGCACUGUGUGUCAGUCCUGCCCCGCAGGCUCCUACAGCAACAACACAGGCUCCGACUCCUGCCAAAGUUGUUCUCCAGCUCCUCCAGUUGUGCUCUGUGCCAGAUCUGUCCUGCUGGUACAGAGUCCCUCCAGGCUGCUGCCAAGGAGUGCACACCUUGUCGUCCAGAUCCACUGGGGCCAGGAGACCUGUAACCUCUGCCCCGAAAACCACUACUGCCCAAGUCCAGACGUGAACCCCAUCCGGUGCCCUGGCGUUGCCUUCUGUCCUGAAGGCAGCACUGCUCCAGGUUACUGCAUGGAGACCUUCUUCCGCAAGGCAGGGGAGAACUGCGAGCUGGCCCCUAUCACCAUUGCUCUACUUGUCAUUGGAGGAGGGGUGGCCCUACUCUUUGUCAUCCUACUGGUGUUGUGUCGAAUGCGAGACACAGGUGGAGAGCUUUCCCUCGCGCGACAAUUUCUGUUAACCAAAGAGAGGCCGCAAGGUGUAUACUACGGGAUCCCAUGUGACGCCGAGCCAGUAUAUGCUGGUUGGUGAACAUGUCCCCACCCUCAUCUGAUACUUCCUAUUAUUGGGGUGAAAUGUCUGGCUUUUAGAGCAGAAUCAAGGGAAGUCUAUGUGCCUCAGUUGUGGACUAAUGGACCAUAAGAGAAAGCAGACACCAAAUCCUAGCCAUGGUUUACCGAAUGUCCAUUUGAGUACUUUUGAUAACUCACCAGCUUUCCUGUGAUUUAUAUCUUCUAGAUGUAUUUUUAACAAGCAUAAGUGUUUUUCAUCUGUAUUCUGUGCUUUAGUGAAUGUGGAUCCCGUUACAUUUGUUAAAAAUAAGAAAAAAUGUCAUCAAUUGAAUUUACCUUUGCAUUCCUUUAGAUUAAUUAGGUAAAUGGUUUAAAGAGGCACACACUGGAUGGUUUAGGAGGGUUGAAAAUGGAGCUUGCGGGCCUCUAAGGACUUGGUGGAGACCUUGUGUUAUGAAAAUCACUUUUGUUGAUGUUUGUAAAUGCAUUCAGUCAUGGUACAUCGAUGGGUGUUUAACUUAUGCUUUGAAGAUUGUUUUAAGUAAAUGUUCCCCUCUGUCACAGAAAUAAUCUAUUUGCUGGUUAUACAUAUGAAUCAUUUUGGUGAUCUGAGGUACUAUGUGUUAUUUUAUUUUCUGUUUGAACGGCAUCACAUCUAUGUUCAUCAAUAGAAAUGUUUUUGACCAAUGCUAUUUAAAAGAAAAUUAUAUUUGUAAGUUUUAGAGAAAAGUACUGACUCUGACUGGAAUAAAGCAUAGCCAUGCACUACUCUCAAGUGAAAUUCUGUUAUGAUAUAAUUACUAGCGUAUAAAACAGGAUACAGACUGAAGUUAUAUCUUUCCCGACUUCAAUGAUCUUUUAAAAAUUGGUGGUGUCAUCAGCCAAUUGUAAAAUUUGAUCUCUUUAUCUUGUAUCAGAAUAGCCCUAAAGCGAUCCUUAUUGAUGUGAAGUGCCAUUACUUGUGUGACCAAUAAAAAUAAGAAAGGAG